AUUGAACGCUGGCGGCAGGCUUAACACAUGCAAGUCGAGCGGAGAUGAGGUGCUUGCACCUUAUCUUAGCGGCGGACGGGUGAGUAAUGCUUAGGAAUCUGCCUAUUAGUGGGGGACAACAUCCCGAAAGGAAUGCUAAUACCGCAUACGUCCUACGGGAGAAAGCAGGGGAUCUUCGGACCUUGCGCUAAUAGAUGAGCCUAAGUCGGAUUGGCUAGUUGGUGGGGUAAAGGCCUACCAAGGCGACGAUCUGUAGCGGGUCUGAGAGGAUGAUCCGCCACACUGGGACUGAGACACGGCCCAGACUCCUACGGGAGGCAGCAGUGGGGAAUAUUGGACAAUGGGGGGAACCCUGAUCCAGCCAUGCCGCGUGUGUGAAGAAGGCCUUAUGGUUGUAAAGCACUUUAAGCGAGGAGGAGGCUACUGAGACUAAUACUCUUGGAUAGUGGACGUUACUCGCAGAAUAAGCACCGGCUAACUCUUUGCCAGCCGCCGCCGUAA
rnacentral:rRNA from 1 species